UCUUUUCCUUGAUUCUCCCAUCUCACAUUGUUCAGAGCUAGCUUGGAUAUCUCUACAGUCCACUGCCUUUGUAUCAUACAGAUAUGGUCCUGGAUUUAAAAAAAGACUUAAAAGUAUUACACCAAGAUUAUUACUAGAAGUAUGGUCAACAUUUUUCAACACAAUGAAAAUGAGGGGAAGAGAAGUAUUUACUUAACUAUAAAAGGUUCUAUUGAGGCCUAAAGCCAAGAGUCAUCUUCAAGGAUUUUUGUCCACUGUUUUUAACUUUCAAAGGAUUAAGAUUUUGGUCACUUUUCAUAAAAGACAAUGCAAAAUUCUAGUAGCUGAUGGUGUUAAGAAACCUGUCAUAUUCAUUCUGUAUUAUUUUAAAAUUACAUACCAUUAUCUACAGUUAUAAUGGCAGCCCCAAUGUUUACAUCCUACUUAUUGGCAGGUAUUUGUGAUCCCUUUCAUAAUGACCAAGACAUUGCAAGGUUAGGUACAUUUAACUCCUGAUUUAUAUUCCUACCUGAGUUUGUACUUUCUUAUUCAUUGCUUAUUUUAAAGAAUGCAGUAUUCAUGCAAAACUAGUAUGUGUACAGAUUUGAAUUCACUACUAUAAUUUGAAAAAGAAGUUGAGAAAAUGCGGUUAAACUUAUUUCUUUGUGCAGUGAUAUUCAAAACGUUGUUAGAUAAUGAAUUACAGCGUAACUGUUGCAAAUGUCUUAGUCUGUUAAUAGAAAAUGAGAGCUCUUUCUAAUUUUACGGGGUUCAAAACAGAAAGUUAGUUUCAAAAUCUAUUAAAAUGUUUUAUCUGUGGAUUUUUUCUUUGAUGAACUAAGCACCUGAUUCAAAUGCACUAGUGGCAGAAGCUACUGGAAAAAACCUUAGUUAAUCUUUUGUUUGUGUGUUGAAAGCUGGAUCAGAACCUAUCUAAGCCAGAGUCAGAUUAUAUGAACACACUGAUCAGUAAAGGACAUAUAUCAGUUUUCCAGAUAUCAUUUUUUAUCACUCUGGAGGCAUCAGCCCAAGCACCUGGCCAUCGUGAUUUUCUCAGGGUCUGGACUUCAUGCUACCAUUUAAAGCAAUAAUUUCAAUACUAACCCUCUUGGGAAGUUGCAGAUGAGCUGCUAAAGGGUGUCUUUCAGUCUCUAUCAUGAAAAGGAUUUUUUCAUCACCUCUUCACAUGCGUGAUCUACUUGAAAAGUCGUAUUGCCUUUCUUUAAAAUACGUUCCCCUUCAGUAAAGCACAAAGAAAUGCAUAUGCAGUCACAUGCACACAUAAAGCACAAGAGGAAGAAUUAUGCAGAGCUAAGUAUUUAAAACAUUUGUGUUCCCACACGCAAUAUGGUUCUACUGUGUUUUCAGUGAGCAUAACCAACUGCAGGGUAGAUUGUGCAUCCUGUCUUCUGAGUUAAAUUUAUGUAAGAUUUAUAUAAGCAAUAGAUAAGUAUCAAAGCCAUAGCCAAGGAGAAUGGAUGGCAAAACACCAGGCUAGUUCAUAAAUUUACAUUAUUAAAGAGAAGUGAUAGAUCUUCACUGCUUCUUUGGUUGAAGCUGAGCAACAAUUUACAAGGAGAAAUAAUUCUUCUUACCUGUUUUUAAUAGCAAAGUAUACAGGAGCAAUAGUACCUGACAUCCACCAAAAAAAAGUUAAUUAUCUUGGGUUAUCUGAAGUGAUCUGUGAUCUUUUUUUUUUCUUAAUUUCUGGCUCCCUGGGAAUCAGAAGCAUAAGAUGUGACAACGUGACAGGAAAAAAAAAUAAAUUACAGAAGUUUAAUAUGCCUCUAAGCAUAUGGAGUGGUUGGCUUUGGAAAUUUGCUAGAACUGAAGCAUGAGAAAGAGGAAACUGAGAACUGAGAGCCUACCAUGUUAUUGAACAGCACCAAAGAACAAUCUCCUGUAUAAUGAGGGGAGGGCAGGUAUUACAGAAAGCAUUCAAAAUGGUGAUCAAGAGAAAAAAGCACCCCUGAAAGGGAAAGCGCCUCUCUGGACCUGCAGGAGAACUUACCAUGAGUGAAACAGAGAUCUAUCAAAAAAAUGAAGACAACAGACAAGAUGUUAAAGCUGAAAGUGAGAAGACAUUGCAUAUGGUCAUACAACAACAGAAAGAGGCCAGCAGAGAGGUCAGCUGCAUAGCAACUGAACUUUUGGAAGAACAGAAGACUGAGGCAAUGUCUUCCUCCUUUUAUGCAAGGAAUUAUGAAGAUGGCCUGAAUUACAAAAGUCCAGGAGAAUAAAAAAGGGGAAGAGAGUAAGCAAAAAUAGGAUAUGAACACUUUUGACUUUCCGUAGAGUUUGCAUGCUCAGUGUAUCAAAACAGUGUGGGGAAAAAAAAAGGGGUCAAUCACAGCCAAAACAAAUACUGCAGAAGCAAGAUAGAAAGAGAAAAUACUCUCCUAGGAUUGUGUUUUUUUUUUUUUUGAAGAAUGAAGACAGUUAACAAAACACUUAACCAAGUUGUCAAUGUCCCUGGCUAAGUGCAUUGUAUAUCAAAUCUGAAUUAGCAGAGAAGCAGAACACUUUUGUCCCCUGUAAAAGUGGUAAGAAAAGAGAAAAACAAUGGUGUAAAAGGAUUUUCUUUAAACAUGAAUAACAGUCCUUUCUUCUGCAACAUGUGAAUUUCCAUGAGUAUCUGAGAACCUUCUGGAGGAAUCUGUACCCUCCAAAAGGUAAAUUCCUCCAAACUCCUAUAAACACCUCCUGAUUGGCUUCUUUCAUUAGAAACAAAAAUACAAGCAACAAUACUCUGUUCCUUCCUGCCAUCAGCCAGAGAUACAUAUCUGUAUUUUAAGACAUUUAAUAUAUACCUAUCUUUUUGCUCCUUAGAGAAUCAUACCCAGAUUUGUGACCAGAUUGUGCUUUUCUACCAGCAUACCAGUCUGAAGUGGCAUAUGCCUGCCUACCAUACACCAGCAUAGUCUGGCUGGACUUUAUUCAGGGAAUAAAAGUAAGAUUUCUUUCAAGAUACCUUGUACCUUCAAUUCUUGGUAACCUCAUUCACCUAUGACUAUAGGAAAGGUAAGCAUAGGCUCACUCUUUUUGCUCUGAGUUACGUCAGGACUGUAAGAAAACAUCAAGAGGGAAUCACAGUUUUGCUGUUAGUGAGCAAAGACUGGUUUCUCACUGAAACCAUUUCUUUAUUUCCACCAACUUGUUGCCCUUCAUAUUAUCUUUCUGUGUCUUCUCCUGGAGAAGCAAGGGUGAAUAAGGAGAAGUAACUUAUUGCCAACUUUUCAUGUUAUUGUUCAUGCCCAUUGCUGAACCAUGAGAAUGAAUUAGAGAACAACACUGAAUUUAUAGAAAUAAUUGGUUUUCACAUUUCACAACAGUUAAUUUUAAUUAUUUAUUCCACUAAUACAUGGUAUCUUUGCAGUGCAUUGCUCUGCCCUCUUUACCUUAUCUCUCUUUAUCUUAAGGUUCCACCUGUAUGAGGUACCUGAUACCAUGUCUCCUAUUCUUCCUGCAUUACUGUGUCUCUCAGGCCAUCCUCAGAGUCAUCCACUUGAAAUAUGAAUUUUAAAAUUGCAAGCACUGAAGUAAAAAUUACUCAUACAGAUUGGUUUUAACUACUACUAAUCCAUCUGUUCCACCUUGCAACUCUUUGUGUUUUGUAGAUUUGAGGGAGAGCAGUCUCCUCACAGUUUCACAAAGAAAACACAUGAAAGCUCUACUGUGGGCCAUCAUCCCCAAAGUUCAAACUGAGGUCCUGGCUUUUCAAACAACUUUUCUCCUUCCUGUGGAACACAUCUUAAAUAGAUUUCUUUUGGGGGAAUUCACAGCUCCUUCUCAAAGCACUAUCAUGUUAUUCAUUUGUUAUUGAUUAGGAAAAUAUUGCACAUCUCCAAUUUUGAAGGUUGCUUUUGUCACUCAGGUUUCUUCCUUUUUCUAGCAACUGCCGAGCAAUAGGAAGUGGUUUCAGUGAAGGUAAAGUAAUCUCUGCACAGACCACUUCACUGACUGCAAGUCUAAUGCCAUACUGUUGGGUUGAUGGAGCAUAUCCACUUGGGCUUGUGUUAUGAUUUAAGCCUUUUAAGAGUUUUAAAGGUUACAGGUAUUUUUUUAUACACAGUAUCAAAUUCAACAAAUGAAGUUUUUCUUUUGCUGCUUCAUGAUCUGUUUGCAUAGCAGUCUGUGACCCUGUGUUUAUCCAGAUAUAUAGUGCAUAUUGAUUAUUGCAAAUAACCAAUCUCUUUGGGUUUUUUUAUAGGAAAUUACCAGAAAGCUUAAGUAAAAACAUUCUUACAAUAAAACUCAUUGUCAUAAAGUUAAUUUUCUUCUAUUUGCACUGUGAUCUAGCAUACUUCCAGCAGUUGUAAUGAUGCUGAGCUCUUUCAAAAACAAUUUUAAUAAAAAUGGUAAACUAUGUAAAAA